UUGAUCAAGUGAGAGAAAGCGAUAAGGAAGCGAGAGGUGAUGGGAUCUAACAGACAUCGCCAGCAUGUUGACCUGGCUUUACCUGCUCCUCGCUCUUGUGGGUGCGGCGCAAGCGGAGUACGCGCCCACGUGGGACUCCUUGGACACACGCCCGCUGCCUCCUUGGUAUGACGGCGCCAAGGUGGGCAUCUUCCUGCACUGGGGCGUCUUCUCCGUGCCAUCCUUCGGCUCCGAGUGGUUCUGGGAGUACUGGCAGGGUGGACAUGACACUGCUUAUGUGGAUUUCAUGAACAAGAACUUCCGUCCGAACUUCACGUACGCGGACUUCGCGCCGGCGUUCACGGCCGAGUUCUUCGAUCCAGACGAGUGGGCGAGUGUGUUCAACGCCUCGGGCGCUCGCUACAUCGUCCUCACCAGCAAGCACCACGAGGGCUUCACCAUGUGGCCCUCGCGCUACUCCUGGAACUGGAACAGCCUCGACGUCGGACCCAAGAGGGACUUACUAGGAGACCUGGCAAAGUCCGUCCGUUCGAAGACCCCGCACAUCCACUUCGGCCUGUACCACUCCCUCUUCGAGUGGUUCAACCCCUUGUACCUGCAGGAUAAAGCCAACAAGUUCGCCACCAACGAUUUUGUGGAGCGGAAGACCAUGCCGGAACUGUAUGAGCUGGUGAACAACUACCAACCCGAAGUGAUCUGGUCGGACGGCGACUGGGAGGCACACGACACGUACUGGAACUCGACCGGGUUCCUGGCCUGGCUCUUCAAUGACUCCCCCGUCAAGGACACGGUGGUCGUUAACGACCGUUGGGGAAUCGGGAUCUCCUGCCACCACGGAUCCUACUACACGUGCAGCGACCGGUAUAAUCCGGGUGUCCUUCAGCCCCAUAAGUGGGAGAACGCCAUGACUCUGGACAAGAAGUCGUGGGGCUACCGCCGUAAUGCUCCUGUGGGCGACUACCUCUCCAUUCACGACCUCAUCACGACACUCGCUCAGACCAUCAGCUGCGGUGGCAACUUGCUCGGUGAACGUGGGUCCCACGCACGACGGGCGUCUCCCUGUCAUCAUGGAAGAGCGUCUUCGGCAAUUCGGUUCGUGGCUCGACGUCAAUGGCCAGGCUGUGUACGACUCCGUGCCCUGGAAGCACCAGAACGACACGCUCACGCCCGGAGUUUGGUACACAAGCAAAGAUGACCUGGUUUAUGGGAUAGUGCUGACCUGGCCCAAACAAAACAAACUGACCCUCGGUGCCGUGACCUCGGCCAAGGACGUGAAGCUACUUGGCUACAACGACCCCCAACUUCCUGUUCUUCAGGUAAAGUCUGUAGGGGCAGGAAUUCAGGUGACCUUCCCGCCCAUGUCGGAAGUGUCGAGCCAGUGGGCGUGGGUGCUGGUCAUGUCGGCCGUGACGCCGGCAUAGACGAUUCCUUCUGCAUCUCGAUGAAAGGGCCUCUCCAUGUGGCACACUUCAGGAUUUCAUAGCGCGCAUCACUAUGAGGAGGCGCGUGAUUCAGUAAAGAGAAAUUGGUUAUCACUAUUUUUUAUUAUUCAAUAUCGGCUGAGUAAUAUUAAAAUACGUAAUGGAAGAAAUGUUAUCUGAUUAAAGGAGACGAAUUAAAUUAAAAAUAAGAAAGAAAAA
rnacentral:misc_RNA from 1 species